UGAGACAGAGUUAUAAAGAAAAACAAGAGUGAAGAGCCUUAGAAUCCAAAAGAAGAAAUAAUAUCCAGGAAGGCAUGGGCCACAGCAUCAAGUAUUUCAAGGACAAAUAGGACAAAUACCUCAAAUAUUUCUUUGCAUGUGACAAUUAGGUAGUUACUGACGAUUCCCACCAGAGGAGUUUCAAUAGAAUCGGGCUGGGGUAAAGGUGAUAAGCCACACGCUGAAAGUUAGAGUGAGUGGGAGAUGAGGAAGUGGCUACAGAAUAUUCAAGGACAUUGUGAUGGCUUUAAAGUCAUCGUGGAGCACCCUCAGAAAGCGAAAGCAGCAUGUUUCACAGAUUUCUGUUGCUGUAAACCACCAUGAGAGGCUGAACAAAUGCACGCUGAGAUUUGUGAACACCCCGCAACUCUGGACCCUUAAAGGUGUUAUUUUUCUUCUAUGUAAUAUGAAAAAUUUUCAAGGAGGUGACAUUUGAACCGGGCCUUGAAGGGUAAGUAGAAGUUCACCAAGCAUCAAAACAAGGAAAGAAAAAUGUCCAGUUUCAGUUCCCUCUCUCAUCAUACCCAGCAGAGUAAAUGCUAGAUAAAUGUUUAGUCCAAGCUGCAAAAGCUGAAAGCUCAAGUUCCUAAACAAACUGUAAAGGAACCAACCGGAUUUGAAGUAAACUGUCAUUUUACUUGGUGAUCAAAUUUCAGUGAAAGGUAUUCUGAGACAGUGAAAAAUUUGGAGGUCUUGCCAAGAUUUGCAACCCUCCUGGGAGAAAAGAGACCCCUGUGCCAGGAAGCCAAAUCUUGUGGUUUGAUUUUCUUAAAAUAAAUAUUUCUAGACUUAAUCCAUCCAAAUAAAUUAAAACAGUAUCCCUGGGAGACCUCCAGUGCUACAAUUCUUAGCAAACUUUUGGAAUGGUGUUCAAUGCCUACAACAACUUCCCUUCGACUAUCUUCAGAGUAGAUAGAUUUGAUUUCUGAAAUAAGAAAUUCAUGCAGAGGCCUGCCUUGAGUUGGACUAGUUUUUGGAAAAGAGUACAGGUGUAAACUCACUGUGAUUUUCCUAAUAUAAAUUUAUUCUUAAAACUGUAAGAAAAGAAUUUCAAAAAUAUCUUUAGUGUCAUGAGAAUACAUGUAUAACCUCUUGAGGUGACUACUUUGAAGGACAAAGCUUACAUGAAAAUACAGUCACACCUAGAAGCAUAAUCACAUCUGCCCACUGGCCAACGUGGGCUUAGAAGCAGUGGUAACUCAUGCUUACAACCCCUUUGUGUUUUGAAAAGCAUCGGCCUAAAAGAUCAACAAAAUUGACAGACCGCUAGCAAGACUAAUAAAGAAGAAAAGAGAGAAGAAUCAAAUAGAUGCAAUAAAAAAUGAUAAAGGGGAUAUCACCACCGACCCACAGAAAUACAAACUACA
rnacentral:lncRNA from 1 species